rnacentral:misc_RNA from 1 species
AUGAAGAACGCAGCGAAAUGCGAUAAGUAGUGUGAAUUGCAGAAUUCAGUGAAUCAUCGAAUCUUUGAACGCACAUUGCGCCUUCUAGUAUUCUGGGAGGCAUGCCUGUUUGAGCGUCAUUAAACCUCUCUCAAGUAUGAUUACUUGGAUGUGAAGGAAGAGUACCUUAAACUUAAGGAGUGUUCUCCUUUGAAAUUGAUUAGCAGAUGGUAAUGUUAUUAAAUCCCUGAUGUUGUAAGAAAUAACAGUGGUUUUGUAGACUAUUAUCUAGCUUUAAAUUAUAAUUUUUAUUAUGGUUGACCUCAAAUCAGGUAAGGAUACCCGCUGAACUUAAGCAUAUCAAUAAGCGGAGGA